AGGGUUCGAUUCUGGCUCAGAACGAACGCUGGCGGCGCGUUUAAGCAUGCAAGUCGAGCGGCAAGGGCCUUCGGGCCCCUAGAGCGGCGGACGGGUGAGUAACACGUGGACAAUCCGCCCCCCGGCCCGGGAUAGCCCAGGGAAACCUGGAUUAAUACCGGAUGAGACGGGACCCGCGAAGGCGGGACCCGGGAAAGGCGCUGCGGCGCCGCCGGGGGAUGAGUCUGCGUCCCAUUAGCUAGACGGCGGGGUAACGGCCCACCGUGGCAACGAUGGGUAGCCGGCCUGAGAGGGUGGACGGCCACAUUGGAACUGAGACACGGUCCAGACUCCUACGGGAGGCAGCAGCUAAGAAUCUUCCGCAAUGGGCGAAAGCCUGACGGAGCCGACGCCGCGUGAACGAAGAAGGCCGUGAGGUUGUAAAGUUCUUUUCGGGAGGGGAACAACCGUGGCAGGGAAUGGCCGCGGGAUGACGUGAAUCCCGGAAUAAGCCCCGGCUAACUACGUGCCAGCCGCCGC
rnacentral:rRNA from 1 species